ACUUUAUUCAUUUAAAAUAAAUGACAAUAAGUACAUCAACCUGAUUGGAGCUAAGGACAUACAUUGUCUAAUAGCCUUUGAUUAGGACUUGGAGGGAGAUCUUGUCUCAUGCUAGCCAUCUUUAAUUAGAUGUCCUUGAAGGAAUUCUCUGGUCAAGAAAUUUGGCAAAGCAUUAUCAGAUCUUUUAAUAUAUUUAAUUUUGAAGUCAAAUAUAGAUAAAAUAGCUUGCCUUCGGGCAAAAAUUUGUUUUGAAACCAAAAUUUUGACAUAUUUUUUCCAAAAUCUCUUUUGCAGAUUUACAAUCAAUUUGCAAAGUAAAAUGCUGAUUUAUCAAAUCUCCUUGAAAUUUUGAGAUGCAUAAAACAAUGCUUAGCACUUCUUUUUUAACAAUAGAAUAUUUUUUUGGGUUUCAUUUCAGGUACCAAAAGUAAACCAGAUGAUUUCAUCUUUUCCAUUCCUAUGUUGCUUUAGGAUUUCUCCAUAUCCAAUUUCACUAGCAUCAGUUUCUACAAUCUUGGGGAUCUCUGGAUGAGGGAUGUUGAGACACAGAGGGGUUUUUACCCUCUGCUUUAUUCUUCUCACUGUUUGAGUGAACUAAUCAUUCCACUCCGGAGGACUUUUCUUUAGUCUCUUUUGAAGUAGCUGUCAGUCCCUAGCUAGGUCUUCGUAGUAGUCUGCUACAUAGUUAAGACUAACUAGAAAUCUUUGGAGUUGGGUUUUAUCCUUAACAGGUGCUAUUUUCCCUUUGGAUAUUUGAUAUCCCAAAAAUCUUACUUCUGUUUGAAACAGUUUCGCCUUCUUGGCUGAUGCAGCUAAGCCAUUUUCUCUCAUGAUUUUUAGAAAUAUAUUCAAGUGUUUCCAGUGGGAUUUCAAAGAUGGAGAGUAUACCAAUACAUCGUCUAUAUAGACUAUAAUGAAUUGAGUAUAGGGAAUAGAAAUUUCAUUCAUAAUUCUCUAGAAUUCAAAUGAAGCAUUUUUUAAUCCGAAGGGCAUAACAUUUCAUAGUGCCCAAAAGGAACUGUAAAAAGCUGUUUUAUAUCUAUCUUUUUCAUUUAUUUGGAUUUUCCAAUAACCUGAUUUUAGGUCAAAUUUAGAAAAUAUCUCUGCAUCAUAUAACUUGUUUAUUAGGUCUUGCUUAUUAGGGAUGAAUAUCUAAUCAACCUCAAGGCUUUGUUGAGUGGUUUAUAGUUAAUCAUUAGCCUUGGUACUCUUUCUAUUUCUGCUGUGUUUUCUACAUAAAACGUUGGACAGCUCCAAGGGGAUUUACUUGGUCUAAUUAGACUUUUUGCUAAGAAUUGUUUGAUUUCCUUCUUGCAGAUUUUUAAUAGUCUACUAUUCAUCUGGAUUGGUCUGGCUUUAGUGGGGAUCUUUGCUUCAUUGUAUCCUUCUUCAUAAGGAAGACUUACCACAUGCCUUUUCUUAUGCCAGAAUGCACUGGGAAUUUCAGCGCAUAUUUCUUUUUCCAAUCUUGUUUGGAACUUUGCUAUUUCUGAUUGUGUUCUUGGAUCUUCCAAGGAUUUAACCAAUUGUUUUUCUUUUAUUUCUGAUUUCAAUUUAGAAAUAAAUUUGACUUUAUUUUUCAAAUCUUCCCUUAAAGUAUUUAUAGUUGUUUUCAGCUUUUGGCAGAAUUUGUAGGUGAUGACUAUUUCACCUAUAGUGGUAGUAAUUCCUACAGAAUCUAUUUGGUACGGAAGAAUUGAUAAUAGGAAGGGUGUUCCUAAUAUGAUAUCUUGCCUAAGGUUUCUGACCAUAAGAAACGUGGUUUUUAAGCAGGUUCCUUGGUUACAGAUAUGGGCAACAGGGAUUUUGUAUUUAACUUCCAACUUCCUUCCCUCAACGGCAUUUACUUGUUGGGAAGUUUUUUCAAAGUAUUUGGAAGGCACAAUUCCUUCCCUAAUACAGUUUACAUUUGCACCUGAAUCAAUUAAGGCUAUAACUGAGAAACUAAAAUUUUUAAUCUUAAUGGUUAUUUUUGAGUACCACUUUUGGUAUUUUACCUCUUCAAUUGAAUAUACGAAUUCUUCAUCCUCUCCCACAAAUGCAGCGGGUUCUAUACUUCCUAUUUCUGAAGAUUUGCUAGAUCCUUCUUGGUGUAUAGAAUCUUUAUAAGAUUCUAAUAUAUUAAUUCUUUCUUUCAGGGAUUUAACUUCGUUUUUGAGAUUGCAAACCUCUUGCUUUAGGUCUAUCAAGAGACCUUGGUUGUCACAACACUCUUCUGGUGAGGUAGAGGUAGAGGUUUCUCUUUCUCUUUCUUCUUCAAAGGUAACCUCUCUUACAGAUUCACCUAAUUCAUUAACUUUUAUAGGUUUUAAAGCAUUUGUUAGCAAAAUAACCCUUUUUUCCACACUUAAAGCAAGUGGUGGUCUUAUAGUCUCUUUUAUUUUUGGAGGAUUUCAAUUUUCUUUCUUUUCUCUCAGGUUUUCUUUUGUGAAAUUUGGAUUUUCUCCUUUCAUGUGCUGGUUUAGCACUGCCAGGUUCAGGACCUACCCCAACUAGUAGCAGAAAUCUCCUAACUCUUUUUUGGAGUUAGUUUUCUCUCUUUUGAUCUGCCUUUUUAGGCGUAAGUCAUUGCAUAAGUCCAGUCCUAUCUGCUUUACUAUCUGGAUUAGAUACUCAAGCGUAUAAUGGGUAUUAUUCGAUUCUCCCUUCUCCUAGACUUCUGAGGUGGUUCCUGACCUUUUCAGUGAACAAUGGGGGAAGGCCUGAAAUAAAUUGUUCUUUCCAAUAGGCUUCUUUUGAAUUAGUUAGCCUAUGUACUUCGGACAGAAAUACAUCCUUAUACCAUCUAAAAUCAUAUAAUGUUUUACACUUAAGAUUUAUGAGUUGUUCACUUAUUCUUUUUGACAUAUUAUCAGAAUUCCCUAUAAAAUGAUUUAGUCAACUUCAACGGCCUUUCCUUAACUUUGCUCAGUCUAAUGCGACUUCGACCUCGGUUCAAGGGUUCUAGCCUUAGUGGAAUUGGUAGGUGACUAGUCUAUCCAACUUGGGUUCUAGCCAAGUGAAAUCUCUGAGGAGGUUGUAGUCUUUGGGUUCUAGCCAAGGUUCUAGGUAGUAUCUGAGCAGAAGAUAUUUCUAAAGUUUGCAGAUUUAAAUUCUAAUCUUACGGUCUAAUGACAUAAAAGGUUAUAGAAGAAAUAUGGACCGAAAGGCUCAAAACUUAGGGUAACCGUGGAUCAUUAGCUCAAGGGUUUAAAGGAACGUUGGAUCAAUGGCUCUGAUACCAAAUGGGAUGAAGUCAAACAGAAGAGCUCUAAUAUAAGAGGUAUGAAGAACUAUAUGAAAAACAAUAUUCUAUGCAUGAAGUAGAAUAGCAGAACAGUAUUUAUAAAAACGGUGCUUUAUAAAUCAGAAAAAACGUAUUUGAACAUAAAAAGUUUACAUUAGCAAGACUUACAAACGAAA